CUCAACCCAAAGGCAGAGAUCCGAGAGUCGUCCGAGAACCGGACCUAAUUUAGAGAAAUCAGUAUUUUUGGACACCUCACGGGCAAAGAAACGCUAGCGAAAGGGCACGCAUCAACCAAGAGCGCGAGGCGUCGGUCAAGAGUGGGCGUGAUCAGAAGGGAAGUGUCACAGAGGAA